UACGGAGGGGGCUAGCGUUGUUCGGAAUUACUGGGCGUAAAGCGCGCGUAGGCGGACCUGCCAGUCGGGGGUGAAAGCCCGAGGCUCAACCUCGGAACUGCCUUCGAUACUGCGGGUCUCGAGUCCGGGAGAGGUGAGUGGAAUUCCUAGUGUAGAGGUGAAAUUCGUAGAUAUUAGGAAGAACACCAGUGGCGAAGGCGGCUCACUGGCCCGGUACUGACGCUGAGGCGCGAAAGCGUGGGGAGCAAACAGG
rnacentral:rRNA from 1 species